ACGUCCAGUUUUUCAGGGCAAUGGUUGUUCAUUUUGGAGGAAAUGGAAAUCAAUGGUAGAAAUCCUAAUUUGAAUGGAAAUAGGAACCAUUCUUCAGGCGAUUCAAAGGUUUUCUUAAAUGGAAAGUCUAAGGAGAUACAUUCGUCAACCACGCGAGAUAACUUGGCAUGAAAGAAGAGAAUGGGUUGGCGACUGUUCUGAAGAUGUGCAACGAGAAUCAAUGGAACCAAUCCUAAGGCUCAGUGUUUUUAAAGGCUCAAGGUGCUCUAAGGCGUAAUGGUCCUCUGGGGCCUAAGCGCA